UACGUAGGGGGCAAGCGUUGUCCGGAAUGAUUGGGCGUAAAGGGCGCGUAGGCGGCUCGGUAAGUCUGAAGUGAAAGUCCUGCUUUCAAGGUGGGAAUUGCUUUGGAUACUGUCGAGCUUGAGUGCAGGAGAGGUAAGUGGAAUUCCCAGUGUAGCGGUGAAAUGCGUAGAGAUUGGGAGGAACACCAGUGGCGAAGGCGACUUACUGGACUGUAACUGACGCUGAGGCGCGAAAGUGUGGGUAGCAAACAGG
rnacentral:rRNA from 1 species